UACGUAGGUGGCAAGCGUUGUCCGGAAUUAUUGGGCGUAAAGCGCGCGCAGGCGGUUCUUUAAGUCUGGUGUGAAAGCCCACGGCUCAACCGUGGAGGGUCAUUGGAAACUGGGGAACUUGAGUACAGAAGAGGAAAGCGGAAUUCCACGUGUAGCGGUGAAAUGCGUAGAGAUCCGGAGGAACACCGACGGCGAAGGCAGCCUUCUGGAAAGUACCUGACGCUGAGGGGCGAAAGCUAGGGGAGCGAACGGG
rnacentral:rRNA from 1 species